rnacentral:rRNA from 1 species
UUAUUGGAGAGUUUGAUCCUGGCUCAGGACGAACGCUGGCGGCAUGCCUAAUACAUGCAAGUCGAGCGGACUUGAUGAGAAGCUUGCUUCUCUGAUGGUUAGCGGCGGACGGGUGAGUAACACGUAGGCAACCUGCCCUCAAGCUUGGGACAACUACCGGAAACGGUAGCUAAUACCGAAUACUUGUUUUCU